AAGCCUAAUGGGAUCCUGAGUACGGCGAGACACGAGGAAUCUUGUCGGAAGCAGGCGGGACCAUCCGCCAAGGCUAAAUAUAAACGAGUGAGCGAUAGUGAACCAGUACCGUGAGGGAAAGGUGAAAAGAACCGCGGGAGCGGAGUGAAAGAGAACCUGAAACCGUAUGCCUACAAGAAGUCAGAGCCCGUUAAGGGGUGAUGGCGUGCCUUUUGUAGAAUGAACCGGCGAGUUGCGACAGACUGCGAGGUUAAGGAGGAAAGACCGGAGCCGAAGCGAAAGCGAGUCUUAAGAGGGCGAAAGUAGGAUGUUGCAGACCCGAAACCGGGUGAUCUAGCCAUGAGCAGGUUGAAGUUGAGGUGAAACUCAAUGGAGGACCGAACCGACUACCGUUGAAAAGUUAGCGGAUGACUUGUGGCUAGGGGAGAAAUUCCAAUCGAACCCGGAGAUAGCUGGUUCUCCCCGAAAUAGCUUUAGGGCUAGCGUCGGAAAGAACCUUAGUGAAGGUAGAGCACUGAAUGUGUGAUGGCCCCAUCCCGGGGUACUGAAUACAAUCAAACUGCGAAUGUCAUUAAGGAUGUCCGGCAGUCAGACUGUGAGUGAUAAGGUCCAUGGUCAAGAGGGAAACAGCCCAGACCGCCAGUUAAGGUCCCAAAAUACAGGCUAAGUGGAAAAGGAUGUGGGGAUGCCCAGACAACUAGGAGGUUGGCUCAGAAGCAGCCAUCCUUCAAAGAGUGCGUAACAGCUCACUAGUCGAGUGACCCUGCGCCGAAAAUGUACCGGGGCUAAGCCUGAUACCGAAACUGCGGAUUGUAGGAAACUAUAGUGGUAGGGGAGCGUUGUAUACGAGUAGAAGCCGUACCGUGAGGAGCGGUGGAUUGUAUAGAAGUGAGAAUGCCGGUGUGAGUAGCGAGAUGUAGGUGAGAAUCCUACACACCGAAAGCCCAAGGAUUCCAGGGGAAGGUUCGUCCGCCCUGGGUAAGUCGGGACCUAACGCGAGGCCGAAAGGCGUAGUGGAUGGAAAGCAGGCGAAAGAUUCCUGCACCCGUAUAUGGAGCGAAGGAGUGACGGAGACGGAUAGUGUGACCCUCUUAAUGGAUUGAGGGCGAAGCGAAGCGGCUGGUUACCAGGCAAAUCCGGUAACCAUAAGGCUAGAGCGUGAGAGGUAAGCGAAAUCUUAGGAAAGUAGCGAAGCACAUGAUGACGGCUUCCAGGAAAAGCUUCUGGCAAUGCAUAUGCGGCCCGUACCAAAACCGACACAGGUGGGCAGGGAGAGAAUCCCGAGGUGAGCGAGAGAACUGUUGCCAAGGAACUCGGCAAAAUGACUCCGUAAGUUAGCGAGAAGGAGUGCUUAAGCAAUUAAGCCGCAGUGAAGAGGCCCAAGCGACUGUUUAACUAAAACACAGCUCUCUGCGAAGUCGCAAGACGAAGUAUAGGGGGUGACACCUGCCCGGUGCUGGAAGGUUAAGAGGAUCUGUUAAGAGCGAUCUGAAGCAGUGAUCCGAAGCCCCAGUGAACGGCGGCCGUAACUAUAACGGUCCUAAGGUAGCGAAAUUCCUUGUCAGGUAAGUUCUGACCCGCACGAAAGGUGUAACGAUUUGGGCGCUGUCUCGGCAGCAGACUCGGUGAAAUCUUAGUACCUGUGAAAAUGCAGGUUACCCGCAACUAGACGGAAAGACCCCAUGGAGCUUUACUGCAGCCUGAUAUUGAAUUCUGGUCAUACAUGUACAGGAUAGGUGGGAGACAAAGAGACGUGCACGCCAGUGUACGAGGAGUCGACGUUGGGAUACCACUCUUGUGUGACCGGGGUUCUAACCUGGUAUCGAGAACAGGUACGGGGAGAGUGUCAGGUGGGCAGUUUGACUGGGGCGGUCGCCUCCCAAAGAGUAACGGAGGCGCCCAAAGGUACGCUCAGAUUGGAUGGAAACCAAUCGUCGAGUGCAAUUGCAGAAGCGUGCUUGACUGUGAGACUUACAAGUCGAACAGGGACGAAAGUCGGGAAUAGUGAUCCGGCGGUGCCGAAUGGAAGGGCCGUCGCUCAACGGAUAAAA
rnacentral:rRNA from 1 species